UACGUAGGGUGCGAGCGUUAAUCGGAAUUACUGGGCGUAAAGCGUGCGCAGGCGGUCUGUUAAGACAGAUGUGAAAUCCCCGGGCUUAACCUGGGAACUGCAUUUGUGACUGGCAAGCUAGAGUAUGGCAGAGGGGGGGUAGAAUUCCACGUGUAGCAGUGAAAUGCGUAGAGAUGCGGAGGAACACCAGUGGCGAAAGCGACUUUCUGGUCCUUAACUGACGCUGAGGCGCGAAAGCAUGGGGAGCGAACGGG
rnacentral:rRNA from 1 species